rnacentral:siRNA from 1 species
GAGAAUGGGUAUGACAUGGAGCG